CGAAAACACGACAUAAAUAAAGGCGUGCGAGCACGGACGUAGAGCGGCAAGCUAAGAGAUGAGAGCUUGCUUAAUAAGACGUACGUUAUGCUUCUUCGCUUUGACGCGCAAGGGUAGAAGAAGAAGUAGACAGAUGGAGUUUGCUCUUAGUUAAUCCUCCCGACUUGCAACAAGGAAAAGAGACUGAAAAAGUGUGGAGAACUUCUCGGCUUAGCUAGACCCCGGAUUGUAAACUUGUAGAAACAUUUUCCUGACACGCUGGGGCAAAAAAGUCUUUUGGAACAAAGGCAUCAUAGAGGGUGAGAAUCCCCGUCUUUGGCCCAAGUUAGUUGUCUAUUGUGAUAUGUUUUCAAAGAGUCAGGUUGUUUGGGAAUGCAGCCUAAAUUGGGUGGUAAAUCUCACCUAAAGCUAAAUAUUUGCGAGAGACCGAUAGCGAACAAGUACCGUGAGGGAAAGAUGAAAAGAACUUUGAAAAGAGAGUUAAACAGUAUGUGAAAUUGUUAAAAGGGAACCGUUUGGAGCCAGACUGGCUUGACUGUAAUCAACCUAGAAUUCGUUUUGGGUGCACUUGCAGUUUCUGCCUGCCAACAACAGUUUGAUUUGGAGGAAAAAAUUAACUUGAAUGUGGCCUUUAUUUAUAAAGGUGUUAUAGCUUUUUAAUCAUACUCUGGAUUGGACUGAGGAUCGCAGUGAAUGCCUUUUUUUAAGGCAAAUUACUAGUUUGCUUUCGCUGAUAAAUGUCAGAAUUUCUGCCUUGGGUGGUGUUGAUAUUUAAAGGAGAAACUCAUUCUAGUAUAUUUUAAUUCGCUUAGGUUGUUGGCUUAAUGACUCUAAAUGACCCGUCUUGAAACACGGACCAAGGAGUCCACCAUAAGUGCAAGUAUUUGGGUGCCAAACUCAUAUGCGUAAGGAAACUGAUUGAUACGAAGUCUUUAUUGAUGGCAGUAUCGCCCGGGCGCUGACGUUUUAUACAUAAAUUGACCGAGGUAAAGCACUUUAUGAUGGGACCCGAAAGAUGGUGAACUAUGCCCUGAAUAGGGUGAAGCCCGAGGAAACUCUGGUGGAGGCUCGUAGCGAUUCUGACGUGCAAAUCGAUCGUCAAAUUCCGUAUAUAGCGAA
rnacentral:rRNA from 1 species